AACGCACAUUGCGCCCUCUGGUAUUCCGGGGGGCAUGCCUGUUCGAGCGUCAUUAUAUCCAUCAAGCUCUGCUUGGCAUUGGGCCUCACUGUAAAAGGUGUGCCCUAAAAUCAGUGGCGGUGUCACCCAGCUUCAAGCGUAGUAAUUCUUCUCGCUAUGGAUGCUGGAUGUAUGUCUGCCAGCAACCCAUAACUUUUAAGGUUGACCUCGGAUCAGGUAGGGAUACCCGCUGAACUUAA
rnacentral:misc_RNA from 2 species